AUGGUUGUGGCUUGGCCGCCGGGCACACAAUCCAUUGAUUCACACAUAAGGUCAAAACCGAGUCGCGGUGUUCACAAUGCUGGGCAUUAUUUAUAUCGAAGGACGAGGAGGAAGAUUUGGAUGACCGUAACCACAAUGGCAAGGGCAGCAACAUGGUCGUCACCUGCAAUGCCGAUGGGUGCUGACAUUAUGAUGUUUGGUUUAUUUGUUGAAAGUUACAGCCCAUGUUUCAUGAUUUAUUUGCCACCGGUUAAUCAUGAUAUUUUGAAGUGCUCUGACAAUUGCUUGCUGUCUGCAUCUCUUACUUUUCAACUUGCUGCAUAUACAGAUAUACACCAUUAG
rnacentral:rRNA from 1 species